rnacentral:rRNA from 1 species
GUUGGGUAGGGGAGCGUUCUGUAAGCCUGUGAAGGUGGCCUGUGAGGGUUGCUGGAGGUAUCAGAAGUGCGAAUGCUGACAUAAGUAACGAUAAAGCGGGUGAAAAGCCCGCUCGCCGGAAGACCAAGGGUUCCUGUCCAACGUUAAUCGGGGCAGGGUGAGUCGACCCCUAAGGCGAGGCCGAAAGGCGUAGUCGAUGGGAAACGGGUUAAUAUUCCCGUACUUGGUGUUACUGCGAAGGGGGGACGGAGAAGGCUAUGUUGGCCGGGCGACGGUUGUCCCGGUUUAAGCGUGUAGGUGUGUGUUCCAGGUAAAUCCGGUUCACUUUAACACUGAGGCGUGAUGACGAGGCACUACGGUGCUGAAGCAACAAAUGCCCUGCUUCCAGGAAAAGCCUCUAAGCAUCAGGUAACAUCAAAUCGUACCCCAAACCGACACAGGUGGUCAGGUAGAGAAUACCAAGGCGCUUGAGAGAACUCGGGUGAAGGAACUAGGCAAAAUGGUGCCGUAACUUCGGGAGAAGGCACGCUGACACGUAGGUGAAGUGAUUUACUCAUGGAGCUGAAGUCAGUCGAAGAUACCAGCUGGCUGCAACUGUUUAUUAAAAACACAGCACUGUGCAAACACGAAAGUGGACGUAUACGGUGUGACGCCUGCCCGGUGCCGGAAGGUUAAUUGAUGGGGUCAGCGCAAGCGAAGCUCCUGAUCGAAGCCCCGGUAAACGGCGGCCGUAACUAUAACGGUCCUAAGGUAGCGAAAUUCCUUGUCGGGUAAGUUCCGACCUGCACGAAUGGCGUAAUGAUGGCCAGGCUGUCUCCACCCGAGACUCAGUGAAAUUGAACUCGCUGUGAAGAUGCAGUGUACCCGCGGCAAGACGGAAAGACCCCGUGAACCUUUACUAUAGCUUGACACUGAACAUUGAGCCUUGAUGUGUAGGAUAGGUGGGAGGCUUUGAAGUGUGGACGCCAGUCUGCAUGGAGCCGACCUUGAAAUACCACCCUUUAAUGUUUGAUGUUCUAACGUGGACCCGUAAUCCGGGUUGCGGACAGUGUCUGGUGGGUAGUUUGACUGGGGCGGUCUCCUCCUAAAGAGUAACGGAGGAGCACGAAGGUUGGCUAAUCCUGGUCGGACAUCAGGAGGUUAGUGCAAUGGCAUAAGCCAGCUUGACUGCGAGCGUGACGGCGCGAGCAGGUGCGAAAGCAGGUCAUAGUGAUCCGGUGGUUCUGAAUGGAAGGGCCAUCGCUCAACGGAUAAAAGGUACUCCGGGGAUAACAGGCUGAUACCGCCCAAGAGUUCAUAUCGACGGCGGUGUUUGGCACCUCGAUGUCGGCUCAUCACAUCCUGGGGCUGAAGUAGGUCCCAAGGGUAUGGCUGUUCGCCAUUUAAAGUGGUACGCGAGCUGGGUUUAGAACGUCGUGAGACAGUUCGGUCCCUAUCUGCCGUGGGCGCUGGAGAACUGAGGGGGGCUGCUCCUAGUACGAGAGGACCGGAGUGGACGCAUCACUGGUGUUCGGGUUGUCAUGCCAAUGGCACUGCCCGGUAGCUAAAUGCGGAA